UUUUAUGGAGAGUUUGAUCCUGGCUCAGGAUGAACGCUGGCGGCGUGCCUAAUACAUGCAAGUCGAGCGAACGGACGAGAAGCUUGCUUCUCUGAUGUUAGCGGCGGACGGGUGAGUAACACGUGGAUAACCUACCUAUAAGACUGGGAUAACUUCGGGAAACCGGAGCUAAUACCGGAUAAUAUUUUGAACCGCAUGGUUCAAAAGUGAAAGACGGUCUUGCUGUCACUUAUAGAUGGAUCCGCGCUGCAUUAGCUAGUUGGUAAGGUAACGGCUUACCAAGGCAACGAUGCAUAGCCGACCUGAGAGGGUGAUCGGCCACACUGGAACUGAGACACGGUCCAGACUCCUACGGGAGGCAGCAGUAGGGAAUCUUCCGCAAUGGGCGAAAGCCUGACGGAGCAACGCCGCGUGAGUGAUGAAGG
rnacentral:rRNA from 1 species